ensembl:lncRNA
CUGCAAAGUGGCUUCAAAGGCUGAUUCCUUAUGUUUGUGUUAGCAGGGCUCUUGUUCUUGAGGCAUCACCGUUUUUUUUUUUUUCUUCAAACCACCUAGCCUAUGUCCAAGCUUUUUUUCUUUUAAGAUGAAUCAUGUGUUAACGUACACACACAGCGGCUCCUUGUCAUUGUUUCUCAAGACCACCCAGAGUGUAUAUAGGAAUUGGGUUGUGAGUGGGCUUGUUGUACAUAUAAAAUCAUGUGUGAGUUCUUCAGAGAGGAUGAAGCGCAGACUUAUUACAGCUAAUACGGUUACACACAUCAGUCAGUGCUGUUGAAUAAUUUAAGUGCACAUCGCAAUGUGUGUGUGUGUGUGUGUGUGUGUGUGUGUGUGUGUGUGUGACAUUUUAAUAACAUGGUUUACCAAACAACACCUGAAUUUAUCCUGUGCUUUCUUCUCCUCUGUUUGUUUUCUGCCCAGGUCCAGACACGAAGGAGGCACGCACGCUCAGACACACACACAUACAACGGCACCUAGAGUCUGUCUGCGGUCUACCCCCACCCUGCCACACACACACACGCCUUUUACGGGCAACAGAUAAAGAGGGAGACGCCAUUCCAGCUGUGAGAAGACGGAAGAAGUCAACAUACACACUCACACAAACACACUAACACACACAUACACACACACAGCCGGAGGCGCGUGAGCAGGUGAGCAUUAAGUCAGGCAGCUAAACAGAUCACGUCGCGGUAUGAUAUCUGCAGACAGGCAGACAGAGGAGGCCGGUCUGUACCUGCAGGCAGAGAGCAACAACUCACAGCACCCUCGCCAGGAAUUUCCUCCCCCUCCUGAAAGAGAGAGAGGGAGGGGAGGUAGAGAGAGAGAGAGAGAGAGAGAGAGACAGACAGACAUAAACUGGGGUUUAUGCUUAAGUGUUUUGCAAGCCAAAUAGUAAAGUUUGAUUAGAAGCUGGCUGGCAAGUUUUUCACAUACCUUCAGUAUUUUAACUUUGACAUGAAGCAGAUAUUUUUGGUGUUUAUGAGAAGAUUUGAUAAGAAGCAAUAGAGACACAUUUACUUUUCAUGAAAACAUUUCAAAACAGGCUUUGGAAUUCUUGUCGGUUAAAUUUUUGUGCAUUGAGACUAGCCAGAACUCUAAAACACAAAAGUUUUGAAUGCACUAUAUAUAAGCGACGGAAAGAAACGAAAGAAAGACAAGAAACGGCAUUUUCAAAGAACUUUAAAUAUUACCAAAGAUAGCUGACAAUGAACGCUAACAUCAUUACCCAGUUCAUCAAUGUCUUCAUAUUCUUGUAGCAGGUUAAAACGGCCCUCCGAUGGUGGGUCACGGAUGCCAGUCAGUCAGUGGUGUCGUGUUAUACAGUUACUGGAAAUGUUUUUGCGUUUUAUUUUCAUUUUCAACCAAUUUUAUGAUAACAACUUCGCCUCAGAGAUGUUUUUGUUUUAGUUUUAUCAACAUUUUUUUUUUUUUUUUCAAGCUUUUGUUUAUCUAAAAUUAUCUUCAUGGAAACACAAUGAUGUAAGGCUACACCUAUAACAGUGAGAACUCAGAGAUGUGCCCCCUCCUUUGGUUGGCCACAUUUUUAGCCCAACAUUCUCCCUUAAACCCCAGUUGAUGAAAGGUUAUCCUUCCACAUAAAAAAAGGAACGCCACAUUCACACGCUACUGUAAUAUCGAGUACAGAUGGUUCUUUUGUUAUUUUGGAGUAAUUCGAUCACCUCCUGUAUAAUUUGUCUUUCUGGAAUUACUUGGGUGUUUUGACAAGGUCCGCAAUACUAAUUGUAAAUCUUUGACAGUAUCCGUUACGCAAACUUGUUCUGCUAGUUUGCUUUUGUUAACGCUCCUUUAAACAGCCAUGACAUUUUUUUAUUUAUUUAUUUUUUUUUAAUUUUUACGGCUUCCUUUCAUUCACAGUCUGCGCAGCAUAUGUAGCCUUUAUCUGUGGUGUCUUGUGUCACAUUCAUAGUUGUAAUUCCCCUUUGGGAGAUGCCCAUUACAGUUGUGGUUUUCUGCCGAGCAGCUUCAUUGAACCAACUGUGGGUUAUGUUGUUACUCAAGAGAACCUCAACAGUGGUGACUAAAUAAGGGUGAGCCAUCACUUCACAUCUCCUGCACAGAUUUUUCAAACUGGUCCAGCAAUUUACUGCCUCUUAAAGUCACAAACGUGCUUCUCAUCUCUCCAAUCUACCCUUGUCCUUGAAUUUAAGUUGUAUCAGAGAGAUGGACCAUGUUCUGUGAUAACCAUUAUUCCUUGGCUGAAGUUUUUUUUCUUGUGUUUUUCAAAGCUCUUUAUAUUUAGCCAGCAAAAACGCCUCUUGAAAUUUUUACAAGUCACAACUCUCCCCACAUAAACCACCACAUCCACUUAUCU